rnacentral:misc_RNA from 1 species
CUAGUCAUGGCAAGCUAACUCAACCUGAAGGAAUCCGUACUUAUUUGCAGGAUACUGAGAGGAGCACAACCCAUAAGAAAUUGGGGAAGGUAAAAUUUACAGCAGAUGCCUGGACACCUAGAAGAUCUCCUAGAGAUUUAAGCAAGGGAAGUACUCCAGUAAAUGCAAGUCAGUCUACAGCAGAAGAUGCUGACAAGCAUAAUUCAACAAACAAAGAUGGAAGAAACGGGCAACCAGGUGCUUCCUCAUGUCAGCCUGAUAAUAAAAUGCAUUUCCAUGUGAAGAAUGGAAGUUUAGUCAGUCCCACGAAAGGUCAGGAGUCUUCAGAUUGUAAGGUUAUAGAAGUAGAGCACUAUGAUUUCAAGAGCGAAAAGUCCAAGGAUAAAUUUCAACUGGACCAGGUAUGGGCACUGCACAGUGAUAAGGAUGGUUUACCCAGGGAUUAUGCUCAGGUUAAGAAGAUUGAAUCCACUAAUGGGUUCAAAUUGCAUGUGGCAAUGCUUGAAGCCUGCCCACUCCAAAAAGACAUGCAGACUGUUUGCGGGACAUUUAAAGUUAAAAAUAAAUGCAUGGUGCUUCCUGUCACUGCAUUUUCUCAUCAGGUGAAAGCGAAGCCAAUUGGGAAGAACAAAUACGAAAUUUACCCUAGACAAGGGGAGAUUUGGGCAAUAUAUAGGAUCUGGAAUGCUGAAUUAACGUUUUCAGACCAGGAUGCAAGGGAAUGCGACUUUGUUGAAGUGGUAGAAGAAAAUGAGGGGAGUGUGAAAGCUGUAGUUUUGAUACCCGUUAAUGGAUCUGCAUCAUUUUACACGGCACCAAGAAGAUCAAAACGCAGUAUAAUUGACAUGCCACGGGCUGAGUUUGGUAGAUUUUCUCAUCAGUGUUUAGCUUCCCAGGUUGUGGGAAAGAACAAUAGUUUCCUGAAAGGCUAUUGGGAGCUUGCUCCUUCAUCAAUUCCUGGUUCUGUAAUUUUGGUAGAUUAAACGGUCGUAUUGUAGGUAGGUUGCGUACUGAUCUUUGUGGAAUGCUAUGAAAUUGUUCCCUGUUGUAAGCGGAAUGAAGUUUGUAGCAUUCCACAAAGAUCAGUACGCAACC